CUCAAGUUCGACUAACCUUUUAUAAAUAAAAAUUGCAAUUUUAAGUCCGAUUAAAAAUUAUAGUGAAACAGUUAACUGACUAGCUUGAAUUUAACAGACGAGAAAAACCUGCAGUAGUUUCUGCUGCUCCAGGACCAGGAGCUGGAAAUUUCAGAAUUGUGUCCCGAUGACUCCUUUUAUCCAGAGUUGGAUAUUGAUGGGAACAUCUACAUAAUGACGUCAAGUGGUAAAAGAUUCGAUUUAGGAAACAGCUCGAAUUGGAUCAAUCGAAUCAGCUGGAAAGACUACAGAAUCUGGAGCAAAAGCAUAUUACGUGUCUGAUCCUGCGGCGCUUUAUUACAAAUGCGGUAACAGGGGCCACCAUCAGGACGAAUGCACAAGGUCAGGGAAGAUGUGCUUCAGAUGCAAGAGGUACGAAGGGCAUGUCCGUGCACACUGCCCAUACACGGAGAGUCAGCUGGAAAAGGUUUUGAAGGAGAAUGAAAGUCAAAGAAGACGCUAAACCGUAAUGCUGGACGACGUCGUUGAAAUCUGCUCGAGCGACUGCAGAGAGCACGAUGGGACUGUUCUUCCCUCUCUCCCAGUCGAACUACGGCUAGCGUCGA